ACUUGCUGCAGAGAAGCGGCGCUGACAGGUUACUGUAGAGAGCAGAGAGCUGUUGGAGGUUAACGCGACAGAGAGAGCAGAGUGUUGUGGCAGUGCGUCUGUCAAGGAGCAGUCUGGGGCCUUGUUGACAUGGAAGGAAAUCUGAAUCUCCAAAUAUGGGAAGUAGCAGGCUAGAAGAUGUGAUGAGGUGGAUGCUGAUGGGAUCUCAGCUCAGUG